AUGAAGCUCAUGCCGACCGUCUUCUGCCUUCUCCUCGUCGUCCUUGCAUUGGGUGGGGCUCGUGUGGAGGCUCGAGGCACACCUUCGGCUGAUCAGGGGUCAAAGAACCAAUGGUCCAGCAUGUUCGUCUUCGGCGAUGGCUUCGUCGACAACGGCAACCUCCCAAAGACCGACACAUGGCGUCAAUGGAGCUAUCCCUAUGGCUCCUAUCUCAACUCUCGUGGAUCUGCGACUCCUGUUCCAACUGGACGCCUUUCCAACUAUUGGAUUCAAUCUGACUUCAUCGCAAGGAUCUUGGGCCUCAAUGAAGCCCCUCCAUCGUACAGGCUCACGCCACAUCUAUCUUGCGACCCAUCUGGCAUGACCUUUGCUUUCGGCGGUGCUGGCGUCUACGAGGUGCCGGACAAGAAGGUGCCGACCCUUGCCACACAGGUUAAUGCUUUCACGAGGCUACUUAAUACUGGGGUAAUCUCAAAACAACAGCUUCAGAGCUCCGUCGCUCUCGUCUCCAUCUCCGGCAGUGACUACAUGACUGGUGCCAACGUCGACAAUGCCUUCUUGAGUAGCUUCGAUGAUAUUGAUAGUUAUAUUGGGAACGUGACGACUGAGAUUGCGAAGAACGUGGGGAAGCUACAGAGGCUAGGUGUGAGAAAGGUACUAGUGAACAACAUGCAUCCCAUUGGCUGCACGCCUUUGCGGACUAGUGCGAACAACUACACGACAUGCGACCUUCUGGCAAACUAUGCCGCAACUGUGCACAACAACAAUAUAGAACACCUGAUGGGGAACAAGAAUAAUGCCCACAUACUGGACCUCUACACUGCCUUCACUGACAUCGUUAAUCACGCCCCGGGUGAAGGGUCGGAGCAGUCAAACAAUUUCAAGCGCAAGCUGACACCUUGCUGUGAGGCUUCCACCGAGCUGGGGUACUGUGGACAGGUUAGCCCUUCAGGGAAGCGCCUCUACGACCUAUGCAAGAAUCCUGAAAAGAAUUUCUACUGGGAUGAGACUUACCCGACGACCGCUGGGUGGGAAGCUGUUACAGAGGCACUAGAAGAACCUUUGAGGGAGUUCCUAGAUCGGGACUAUGUUCCAUGA
rnacentral:rRNA from 1 species